rnacentral:rRNA from 1 species
GACGAACGCUGGCGGCGUGCCUAAUACAUGCAAGUAGGACGCAGUUGCGAACGGGUGAGUAACGCGUAGGUAACUACCUAUUAGAGGGGGAUAACUAUUGGUAACGAUAGCUAAUACCGACUACUAGUAGAUGGACCUGCGUUGUAUUAGCUAGUAGGUAGGGUAAUGGCCUAACUAGGCAACGAUACAUAGCCGAGCUGGGAGGUUGUUCGGCCAGACUGGGACUGAGACACUGCGCAGACUCCGACGGGAGGCAGCAGUAGGGAAUCUGCGGCAAUGGGGGGAACCAUGACCGAGCAACGCCGGGUGAGUGAAGAAGGUUUUCGGAUCGUAAAGCUCUGUUGUGAAGGAAGCGGUACUUAACCAGAAAGGGACGGCUAACUACGUGCCAGCCGCCGCGGUAAUUC